rnacentral:rRNA from 1 species
UGGCUCAAGACGAACGCUGGCGGCGUGCUUAACACAUGCAAGUCGAACGAUGAAGCCCAGCUUGCUGGGUGGAUUAGUGGCGAACGGGUGAGUAACACGUGAGUAACCUGCCCUUGACUCUGGGAUAAGCGCUGGAAACGGCGUCUAAUACCGGAUAUGACAACCGACGGCAUCGUCUGGUUGUGGAAAGAAUUUUGGUCAAGGAUGGACUCGCGGCCUAUCAGCUUGUUGGUGAGGUAAUGGCUCACCAAGGCGACGACGGG